rnacentral:rRNA from 1 species
UACGUAGGGUGCGAGCGUUGUCCGGAAUUAUUGGGCGUAAAGGGCUCGUAGGCGGUCUGUCACGUCGGGAGUGAAAACUCAGGGCUUAACCCUGAGCCUGCUUCCGAUACGGGCAGACUAGAGGUAUGCAGGGGAGAAUGGAAUUCCUGGUGUAGCGGUGAAAUGCGCAGAUAUCAGGAGGAACACCGGCGGCGAAGGCGGGUCUCUGGGCCGUAACUGACGCUGAGGAGCGAAAGCGUGGGGAGCGAACAGG